UGCUUACGAAUCUGUGGAGCAGCCCAAAUCCACCGGGCCGUGGAGCAGGUGGGGGUGUAAAUGAGGCCAAGGAGCACAGCUCCCCACCCCAGGACACUACCCUGCACACCCCACUGGGGGAGCAGUAGAAGUGGGGGAGCCACACGUUGCCCUUUCACCCCAAUCUUGCAACAAGACCACAUUAAAAGCCAUUUUUCAAGGCUGAGCAAGAUGUUUACGACCUGAUAGGCGACGGCUGGCAAACUCAUUUCAUCAUAAAUAGCACAGCAGAUAAUAUACUUCAGGAUAAAUGACGCAUCUGCCUCUGCCGGGUGCUCGGAGUGAGGGAUGCACUCCCAAUAUGGGCUCUUCUUAAAGGACAGCAUCCUGUGGGAUUAAGGACCCAGCCUACUCCAGUAUGGUUGCAUCUUAACUGAUUUCGUCUAUAACACACUUAUUUCCAAACAAAUUCACCUUCUGAGGUUCUAGGGCCGCAUCCACAGCACACAGAAGUUCCCAG